UGGGCCAGUCACCUCCCCAGUAGCAUAAUUGGAAAGACGCUAAGGGGCCCCGAAAUGCCGAAGUGCUGUAAAUUAGCAGCGUUCAAUCCCGAUGAACAUUAAAGAGAGUGUGUCGCUAAUUCCUCCGCUCACGCUGCUCCCAGAGUCUUCCCACUGGGGGCUUUUGGCUCGGAGCAUUACAGGCCUCUUUGUUCUGCCUGGCUUCUCCAUCAGGGCAGGACCUCAAGCGUAAUGAGAAGUAAAACAUCAGACAAUCCCACUUGAAGGACAUUCUAUGAAAUACCUGACCAGCCAUUCCUUACGACUGUCAGGGUCAUCAAAAACAAAGAAUUUCUGAGAAACUGUCACAGCCCAGAGGAGCCUAAGGAGACAUGAUGACUAUCUAUAAUGCGAUAUCCUGAAUGGGAUCCUGGAAAAGGACUUCAGUGAAUGUGCAUUAUCUUUAUAAUCAGAAA